rnacentral:rRNA from 1 species
UACCUAGACUUGACAUCUCCUGCAUUACUCUUAAUCGAGGAAGUCCCUUCGGGGACAGGAUGACAGGUGGUGCAUGGUUGUCGUCAGCUCGUGUCGUGAGAUGUUGGGUUAAGUCCCGCAACGAGCGCAACCCUUAUUGUUAGUUGCCAUCAUUAAGUUGGGCACUCUAGCGAGACUGCCCGGGUUAACCGGGAGGAAGGUGGGGAUGACGUCAAAUCAUCAUGCCCCUUAUGUCUAGGGCUACACACGUGCUACAAUGGUCGGUACAAUAAGACGCAAGCCCGCGAGGGGGAGCAAAACUGGAAAACCGAUCUCAGUUCGGAUUGUAGGCUGAAACUCGCCUACAUGAAGCUGGAGUUGCUAGUAAUCGCGAAUCAGCAUGUCGCGGUGAAUA